AUUGAACGCUGGCGGCAGGCUUAACACAUGCAAGUCGAGCGGAGAUGAGGUGCUUGCACCUUAUCUUAGCGGCGGACGGGUGAGUAAUGCUUAGGAAUCUGCCUAUUAGCGGGGGACAACAUUCCGAAAGGAAUGCUAAUACCGCAUACGUCCUACGGGAGAAAGCAGGGGAUCUUCGGACCUUGCGCUAAUAGAUGAGCCUAAGUCGGAUUAGCUAGUUGGUGGGGUAAAGGCCUACCAAGGCGACGAUCUGUAGCGGGUCUGAGAGGAUGAUCCGCCACACUGGGACUGAGACACGGCCCAGACUCCUACGGGAGGCAGCAGUGGGGAAUAUUGGACAAUGGGGGGAACCCUGAUCCAGCCAUGCCGCGUGUGUGAAGAAGGCCUUAUGGUUGUAAAGCACUUUAAGCGAGGAGGAGGCUACUGGGACUAAUACUCUUGGAUAGUGGACGUUACUCGCAGAAUAAGCACCGGCUAACUCUGUGCCAGCCGCCGCGGUAAUAC
rnacentral:rRNA from 1 species